AUUGAACGCUGGCGGCAUGCCUUACACAUGCAAGUCGAACGGUAACGCGGGGCAACCUGGCGACGAGUGGCGAACGGGUGAGUAAUGUAUCGGAACGUGCCCAGUUGUGGGGGAUAACUGCUCGAAAGAGCAGCUAAUACCGCAUACGACCUGAGGGUGAAAGCGGGGGAUCGCAAGACCUCGCGCAAUUGGAGCGGCCGAUAGCAGAUUAGGUAGUUGGUGGGGUAAAGGCCCACCAAGCCAACGAUCUGUAGCUGGUCUGAGAGGACUACCAGCCACACUGGGACUGAGACACGGCCCAGACUCCUACGGGAGGCAGCAGUGGGGAAUUUUGGACAAUGGACGCAAGUCUGAUCCAGCCAUGCCGCGUGCGGGAAGAAGGCCUUCGGGUUGUAAACCGCUUUUGUCAGGGAAGAAACGCUCUGGGUUAAUACCUCGGGGUAAUGACGGUACCUGAAGAAUAAGCACCGGCUAACUACGUGCCAGCCGCCGCGGUAAUAC
rnacentral:rRNA from 1 species